rnacentral:rRNA from 1 species
AGCAAAGGUCUAAAUAUCCUCAAGGCACCUGAUCCUGUUUGAUCUUGGCUGCUAAGCAGGGUCAUCCCUGGCUAGUACUUGGAUGGGAGACCCACAAUGAAUACCAGAAUCUGUAAAAU